AUGCAUGUCUAAGUACAAGCUGUCUCGUACGGUGAAACUGCGAAAGGCUCAUUAAAUCAGUUAUGGUUCCUUAGAUUGUACCCACGUUACAUGGAUAACUGUGGUAAUUCUAGAGCUAAUACAUGCCGACAGAGCUCCGACCAGCGCGUCGACGUUCGGCGGCCCCGUCCGUCGUCGUCGGCCGUUCGGAAGGAGCGCUUUUAUUAGAUCAAAACCGGCCAAGCGCCCGGAUUGCGUUUCGCGCGCACAUUCGGACGUAAGUGGCCCGCGCAAAGACUUGACGACUCUGAAUAACUUCGAGCUGAUCGCACGGUCCUCGUACCGGCGACGUAUCUUUCAAAUGUCUGCCUUAUCAACUGUCGACGGUAGGUUCUACGCCUACCGUGGUGGUAACGGGUAACGGGGAAUCAGGGUUCGAUUCCGGAGAGGGAGCCUGAGAAACGGCUACCACAUCCAAGGAAGGCAGCAGGCACGAAAAUUAUCCAU
rnacentral:rRNA from 1 species